GAGUUUGAUCCUGGCUCAGAAUCAACGCUGGCGGCGCGCUUAACACAUGCAAGUCGCACGAGAAAGUGGAGCAAUCCAUGAGUACAGUGGCGUACGGGUGAGUAACACGUGGAUGAUCUACCUCUUAGUGGGGAAUAACCCUGGGAAACCGGGGCUAAUACCGCAUAAGCUCGAGAGAGGAAAGCAGCAAUGCGCUGAGAGAGGAGUCCGCGGCCGAUUAGCUAGUUGGCAGGUUAAGAGCCUACCAAGGCAAAGAUCGGUAGCCGGCCUGAGAGGGCACACGGCCACACUGGCACUGAAACACGGGCCAGACUCCUACGGGAGGCAGCAGUGGGGAAUCUUGCACAAUGCGGGAAACCCUGAUGCAGCGACGCCGCGUGAGCGAUGAAGCCCUUCGGGGUGUAAAGCUCUUUCGGCAGGGAAGAUGAUGACGGUACCUGCAGAAGCAGCUGCGGCUAACUACGUGCCAGCUGCCGCGGUAAUACGUAGGCAGCGAGCGUUGUUCGAAGUUACUGGGCGCAAGGGUUUUACUAAGCGGUUGUUUAAGUUUGGUGUGAAAUCUCCCGGCUCAACUGGGAGGGUGCGCCGAAUACUGAAUGACUCGAGUGCGGGAGAGGAAAGUGGAAUUCCUGGUGUAGCGGUGACAUGCGUAGAUAUCAGGAGGAACACCGGUAGUGUAGACGGCUUUCUGGACCGUAACUGACGCUGAGACACGAAAGCGUGGGUAGCAAACAGGAUUAGAUACCCUGGUAGUCCACGCCCUAAACGAUGCAUAUUUGGUGUGGGCAGUUCAUUCUGUCGGUGCCGGAGCUAACGC
rnacentral:rRNA from 1 species